rnacentral:rRNA from 1 species
UACAGAGGUCUCAAGCGUUGUUCGGAUUCAUUGGGCGUAAAGGGUGCGUAGGCGGCGCGGUAAGUCGGGUGUGAAAUCUCGGAGCUUAACUCCGAAACUGCAUUCGAUACUGCCGUGCUUGAGGACUGGAGAGGAGACUGGAAUUUACGGUGUAGCGGUGAAAUGCGUAGAUAUCGUAAGGAAGACCAGUAGCGAAGGCGGGUCUCUGGACAGUUCCUGACGCUGAGGCACGAAGGCCAGGGGAGCAAACAGG